rnacentral:tRNA from 26 species
GCGCCCGUAGCUCAGCUGGAUAGAGUACUGCCCUCCGAAGGCAGGGGUCACAGGUUCGAAUCCUGUCGGGCGCGCCA